rnacentral:rRNA from 1 species
AUUGAACGCUGGCGGCAUGCCUUACAAGCAAGUCGAACGGUAACAGGUCUUCGGAUGCUGACGAGUGGCGAACGGGUGAGUAAUACAUCGGAACGUGCCUAGUAGUGGGGGAUAACUACUCGAAAGAGUGGCUAAUACCGCAUGAGAUCUACGGAUGAAAGCAGGGGAACGCAAGACCUUGUGCUACUAGAGCGGCCGAUGGCAGAUUAGGUAGUUGGUGGGAUAAAAGCUUACCAAGCCGACGAUCUGUAGCUGGUCUGAGAGGACGAUCAGCCACACUGGGGCUGAGACACGGCCCAGACUCCUACGGGAGGCAGCAGUGGGGAAUUUUGGACAAUGGGCGAAAGCCUGAUCCAGCAAUGCCGCGUGCAGGAUGAAGGCCUUCGGGUUGUAAACUGCUUUUGUACGGAACGAAAAGCCCUGGGUUAAUACCCUGGGGUCAUGACGGUACCGUAAGAAUAAGCACCGGCUAACUACGUGCCAGCCGCCGCCGUAA